AUUGAACGCUGGCGGCAGGCCUAACACAUGCAAGUCGAGCGGAUGAAGGGAGCUUGCUCCUGGAUUCAGCGGCGGACGGGUGAGUAAUGCCUAGGAAUCUGCCUGGUAGUGGGGGAUAACGUCCGGAAACGGGCGCUAAUACCGCGUACGUCCUGAGGGAGAAAGUGGGGGAUCUUCGGACCUCACGCUAUCAGAUGAGCCUAGGUCGGAUUAGCUAGUUGGUGGGGUAAAGGCCUACCAAGGCGACGAUCCGUAACUGGUCUGAGAGGAUGAUCAGUCACACUGGAACUGAGACACGGUCCAGACUCCUACGGGAGGCAGCAGUGGGGAAUAUUGGACAAUGGGCGAAAGCCUGAUCCAGCCAUGCCGCGUGUAUGAAGAAGGUCUUCGGAUUGUAAAGCACUUUAAGUUGGGAGGAAGGGCAGUAAGUUAAUACCUUGCUGUUUUGACGUUACCAACAGAAUAAGCACCGGCUAACUUCGUG
rnacentral:rRNA from 1 species